CAAUAGAGAAAGAGACAAUAGAGAUUGGCUGGAUUUACCGUGUAUGAGCUGGAUUGUUUUGGAUUUACCUGUUGGCGUUUGGACCUGGACCUACCGAGAACCCGAUUCGUGUACUGAACCCUGCUAUCCUUGACCUCGCCCACGGCCUGGGUGGACCAGGACGGAGAAACAAACACACAGGUGUCAGACCAAGGAUUGAGCUGGUCUAGUAAAAGUCUGAACUCCGAUGACGUCCUGCAACUUGUGACAUCCAACCAGGAAAUCACCUGCCAACUUGAUUCCCCUUCCCCCCUCCAACACUCCUUCUCCAGACCAUCUCAGGAGACCUCCUUCCAUUCCUAAGCAACCCUAAUCAACUGCAGCACUGUAUUGAUCCAUCUGUUGUCCAAAACUACAGACGAUAUCUCUUCUUCCUUUCUUAUUUAAAACACUUAAAUAACCACCUCUCCCACUGUCCUAGUUCCUCAGACAUAGAUUCCCAUCAGUUCUCUGUUAUAGUGAUCUCAUGCAGAAGAAAUAUAAGAUCAUGAAUUUGUAUUCAGACAAAUAUAUAGUUAAUCCAAAUAGUGUCCAUUAAUUAACCAAAUAUCUCCAUCAAUGGGCAGAGUCAUGGUGACAGUUAGCAUAUUCUGUAUCUGAGCUUGAAGUGGGUAGAGCUGGUUUUGAUGAUGCUGUGGGGAACUUCAUACAUGCCUCUGGUAGUGUGUAGACUCCCUAUGUGGAAUACUGUGAGCAAAUGCACAAUAAAAAAACUCCAUAAAUUGACUUGUGAUUUUGACAAGCAUUUAAAUGUCAUCCAAGAUCUCACAACUUGAUCUGAAUCCAAUCAACCCUGAUCACAACACAUUCACCACGAGUGAGGGGUCAGUCCUUUUCCUCCAUGUGCUUCAGAACAACUUUCUGGAGUUGCUGGGUCUCCAUAUUGCCAGAGGUCUGUGAAACAGUUGAUGGAGAGCAGAAGGAGUGUGAAUGGAAUUAUAUAAACACAUUUGUGUUCUUUAUUGGGGAUUUUUUUUAAGGCAAAGUGCAGGUCUAUCACAAGUGGUGCAUGUUAGUGUCUGGACGUUGCAUCUUAAAGCGAAGAGAUGAAUCAUUAACAUUAACUUGGGACAUCAUGGAAAUAUACAGUAGAUAAACGAUCUCAUCAGAAAUUGCAGAUUAGAUUUUUUUUUGCACUUAAAUUUGAUUAAGGCCUGAAACCAAUAUCUCAUUAUCCUGAUGCAGUUUUUUUUGGUCUCCUAGGAAUUGCUGUGUUACAUGACUAGAUGGUGUCUGGACAAACACUCAUACACACGCUGAAAUAGCUGUAUUAAUAAAGUUUCCCUCAUCAAUCUGA